rnacentral:lncRNA from 1 species
AAAAAAAUCAAUUAAAAGUGAGUUUCAUCAUCAAGACAAUAGAACACAGUAGUGGAUCUGUAUUGGAAGAGACUAUAUAGGUGACUGCUCUGAAUUAAGCUAAAGAAUCACUAGGUAUACCUAGUACUUUUUAAAGCACAUUUUGUAAAAAUAUAUUUUUUUCCUUUAGAAUUAGAAAUUAAGGGACAGCAUCUGCUGAAUAAACUCUUCUCCUUCCAUACCUUAGUGCUGUCAAAAUGUUGGAAAUGAAACAACAUAGUGUGGAAGUACCUGGAUUUUGUGUAAAUAGUAACUGUAUGCUUAAACAGUUGAGGUUAGGAAGAGAGUUGUAAUUAAUAUCUUUAUGCUUAUGGAUUUCACUUUUAAUUAUUUUUUAGGGUUCUGUUUAGUUGGAUUUUUUUUCCUCAUAGAAGGCGUCUUUAAGAAAAAAUCUCAGAUGUUCGUUUCUGCAAGAUGUCCCACUGAGACCUCUGGAAAAAGCAAGAGGAAAAAAAGGAGAAGUGAAGGAAGACACAAAAAUAAUUGGAUGGGAAUUAGAGACUUGAAAUAACUCCUCAAAAUUUAUCAAUUUUAUGUCUUAAUCUGGAAUUAACCGGAUGGUGGAUUUAGACACGCAUUUGAUCUCUCAAACUGCUCAUACUGAAGCAUUUCCAAUAUGCCAGAAGGUAUGGCCGUAGUCACUGUUUGCAAGUGACCAAUCUAUUCACAUGCUCAUUGGGUGAAAUAAGGACUAUUUAAAAAAAGAAAAAUGUUUUUUACUUGACAGUGGCAGCAAACCAUGACAGAAAGGGACUGAUGCAGUGGUGGAAGAAAGUUGUGUCAUUUUUAAGCUAUAGAAUAGUUGAAAGUUUGGUGUCUAAUAAAUGACUCCAGUUUGGUGCA